ACUGGAAUUAUGGAAGACUGGAGUAAUGAUGAUCACAGGAAUAAAUGACAUUUUAACAUAUAUUCACAUAUAUUUAAAUUUAUUUGAGAUUAUCAUAUAUGUAAAUAUUACUGUUUUUGAGAAGAAUGGUUACAAUUGCGAGAUAUAAACUCGGAAUGCUGAGAACAAAUGUUACAAUUGCAAGAUAUAAACUCGGAAUUCUGACAACUAAAAGUUCUAAAUUCUACUAAACAACUAAAAUCUCGAAAUUCUAAAAAGAAAAGUCACAAUUGCGAGAAAUAAACUGAAUUCUAAGAAGAAAAGUCAAAAUUGUGAGAUGUAAUCUCGGAAUUCUAAAAAAAAAAGUUAGAAUUGCGAGAAUUAAACUCGGAAUUCUUAGAAAGUGUCAACGGUGAGAUAUAAUCUUGGAAUUCUAAAAAAAAAAAAAAAAGUCACAAUUUCGAGAAAUAAACUAAGAAUUCUGAGAAGAAAAGUCAAAAUUGUGGGAUAUAAUCUCAGAAUUCUGAAAAGAAAAGUCACAGUUGCGAGAUAGAAACUCGGAAUUCUGAGAAAGUCACAAAUGGGAGAAAUAAACUGAAUUCUGAGAAAAGUCACAAUUACAAGAUAUAAUCUGAGAAUAAAAGUCACAUUUGCGAGAUAUGAACUUGGAAUUCUGAGAAGAAAAGUCACAAUUGCGAGAAAUAAACUUGGAAGUCUGAGAAUAAAAGUCAGUUGUGAGAUAUAAUCUUUAAAUUUCAAAAAGAAAAGUCACAAUUGUGAGAUUAACUUGGAGUUCUGAGGGAAAAAGUCACAAUUGUGAGAUAUAAUCUCAGAAUUCUGAAAAGAAAAGUCACGAUUGCAAGAAAUAAACUCAGAAUUCUGUGAAUAAAAGUCACAAUUGCGAGAUAUAAACUUGGAAUUCUGAGAAAAAAGUCACAAUUGUGAGAUAUAAACUUGGAAUUCUGAGAAAAAAGUCACAAUUGCAAGAUAUAAUCUUGGAUUUCUUAAAAGAAAAGUCGCAACUGCGAAGUAUAAGCCUGGAAUUCUGUGAAAAAUUACAGUUGCGAGAUAUAAACUUGGAAUUCUGAGAAUAA